GGGCAGUUAGCUUAGUGGUAGAGCAUUUCGUUUACACCGAAGAGGCCAGCGGUUCGAUCCCGUUACUGCCUA
rnacentral:tRNA from 1 species